rnacentral:sRNA from 1 species
UGGUAACGAAUCUGAGGAUAUUCAGCUAAUUAAUUAUAGUAUAUAAUUUUUAGCACACCUGUAAAAGAAUACUGAAAUACUAUAAUAUUUCAAAUAAUAUAUCUGUGUGUGUGUGUGUGUGUGUGUGUGUGUGUAAUACCAGCUCCCAA